CAUGUUUAAUUCCUACUAUUUAUUCCAUAAGGUACUAAGAAGGUCUGUGGGAAUCCUUGAUACUUACCUGGGCUUAGUUUAGCUCUAAAAAAGUAGCACAGGAGCAGGAGACUUGAUGAGAACUUAAAAUGAAGUGUCUGGCUAAGACCAGGAUAGUCGAGUUGCUCAUGAAACCUCUGGAUUCACCGCUGGGUAAAUCUGGUAUCAUGAUUGUUUUGAUCACCAUUUAAAAAUGUCUUUUCUCCAGUUACAAAUAAGAUGUUUUAUCCAAGAAUGUGCACUAGCACAAAAGGACUUUAUUUUGCACAACAUCUUCUCUUUGAUAGGACACAAUUUUCUCAGGCCUGAGUUACAUGAUGGGGGUGGUGGCUUUGAGGAACAUGGAGGGUCUUUUUGUGGCAGCUAAGUCAGGGAGUUUCAGGAUAAGGAUGCUGGGACAUAUUUCUGUUAAGCAGGGGAUUCUGGUGGAAAUACCAGGACUUUCUUUUACUGCUUACAUAAACACUCUGGAUCCUCUGUGCCCACUCAGAAAGUUUAGGGAGAAAAGCUGAAAAGGCCUUGAAUUAAUAUCUCAGAUGAAGGACAGUGCCACUAACAGUCUAUUAAAAUACACAUUAAAAAUAUGUAACUUUAAAUCCCUUUGGUUUGGUUUAAAAAAAAUUAAAGUUUUAUAAUGAUGCCUUUAUUCUUUUAUUUAAGGUACUUAAAAAAUGUAUAUAUUAUGGCCAGAUGCAGUGACUCAUGUCUGUAAUCCCAGCACUUUGGAAGGCCGAGGCUGUUCUUGAACUCCUGGGCUCAAGUGAUCCUCCCACCUUGGCCUCCCAAAGUGCUGGAUUACAGGCAUGAGCCACUACAUUUGUUCUUAUUAUUUAUUUUUAAUACCAGAUGAUCAUCUCUAUUAAAAACAGAAGUGAGUGAUAUGAUGUGUACAACAGUGCACGUACUGUAUCUUUACUGAGAGAAUAGUGGAGAAAUACCCUUGUUUGAGUCAUUUCCUGAACAAUAGGAUGGGGUGGUUUGUAAACCAAAAUUUGGUCUCUGCUUUGGUGAAGCUAAGAAUGCAGUUUUGAUCUUAAUAUGCUAGUAGCCAACACAACUGAAGGUGAUGCAGCAUUUUUACCUCAUUAGCAGUGUCUUAGGCUUAGCUGGUAAGGCUUCACCAGCUUGCAGUGCCCAGGAAGCUGACGUAAUAAGCAGCAGGUCAUGGGCAACACGGAUGUCAUCUUGGUCCAAGAUACAUCCAUCCUGCUGUGUCUCAUAUUUGUUGUAGAAUGAUUCACAUAGAAAAACCAUUUUGAUUUUUCCUGUCUUUUAAAAACAAUACUUCAGUUUGUCUUCAUGCUUUCUGUAAAGUUGUAUCUCCAAUAUGCCGGUUUAAUUUUGUAUGAAACUGGAAUUUUAGAUGAAAGGCUUUCUAAUGCACAAAAGAACCUCAGCCCUUUCUCAGAAGCACAACAAACACACACAUAAACAACAACAAUAGAAGAGUUCCAAUUAGGAUUUUCAGAACACAAAUACCCAUUUAAAUGUACCUAACAUUUCUCUGCUAGAAGCCACUUUAAAUUAUUGUUCUUUUUAAAAGGAAAAUCCAAUAUAGUUGAAAGCUUGUGCUUUAUAAAUAUGUGAUGCUUCCCUGCAUUAUCUGAAAGAGGGAGAAAAACCAUGUCUUGCUUUUUGGGAUUUAACCUGUUUUAGCUGAUCACAAAAUCUUUAUUAAUUGCAUUUAUUAGCUAUAUAGCACUCCAAGGUCUUUGAAAUUUUUUGGUUGCAAAAAUCUGAUGAAAAAAUUAAAUUGUAUAUUAUCUUGUAAUUUUGCAAAAAGCAUGUGAUUGAGUUGUGCCCUGCCAAUGACUUCUAGUAGCAGAGCAAGCAGUGGUCCUUCCUCACCAUUGAGAGUGGCGUCGGGGAGUUUCUUGCAGUUACAACAAAGCCCAAAUUAUGGGGACGGUGAGGGGAGUCUUUGGCCACAGAAUAGGUUUGGGUGUGAGCUGCACUUUCUGCCUUGCUAAGUGUCAGUUUUUCUGGAUUUUACAUUUGUCUUCCUAUAGCUUCAGCUUCCCUUCUUUCCUUUACUUCCUACUGUGGCCUUCAUUCUCUUCACUUGGUGGUGAUGAGUAAUUUUACACAAGGCCAUUUUCUCUGGACAUAGACUGAGGCAGUGAUGGGAUGGUGAAGUACCACGGAUAGUAAUCAGGGGGACCACAGAUAAUGGCAGGGAGCCAGGGUGUCUACCCUGGCUCUGCACUGACUGGCUUGGUGAUUUGUAGAGUUCUUAGGGACUGACUCAUGUGCCUGCAAAAUUCAUAGGCUGAAACCCUAAUCCUCAAUGUGACUGUAUUUGGAGGGCGGGCCUUGAAGGAGAUAAUUAAGGUUAAAUGAGGUCAUAAGGGUGGGGCCCUAAUCCAGUAUAACUGGUGUCAUUUUAAGAAGGGGAAGAGACAUCAGGCAUAAGCAUGCACAGAGAAAAGGCCACAUGUGAGGACACAGAUAGGAGGCGGCCAUCUGCAAGCCAAGGAUAGAGGCCUCAGGAGAAACCAGCCUUGCUUGGCACCUUGAUCUUGGACUUCCAGCCUCCAGAACUGUGAGAAAAUAAAUUUCUGUUGUUCAAGCCACCCUGUGUUAUUUUCUUACGGCAGCAAUAGCAAUUGCUAAAUACAAAUAUAGGAGAAAAAUGAAGUCUCUCUAGGAUUCCAUUUCCCAUCUUGAAGAUGGGGCUAGAAAUCGUUUCUACAAUAGAGAGUUAUAUGAGAAUAAACAACAUAAUGUAAUCAAUAUAGUGCCUCAAUUCAUGCCUUCUCAUAGAUGGAGAAUUUAUGCCCACAAGCACAGGCUAGUGUCCAUUUUCUAAUAACUCAGCUUUUUGCUGAGUACUUAGCAUUAAAACAAAACAACACAAAUCAUUUAUACAUGUUAAGUUUCAAGUUUCCCACUUCAUUUUGCCUGGCUGAUGGCUCUUAGAAGACACAAACUUAUGGCACAGAUGACUUCUUCUGGUUCUAACUUGUGUUAUCUCUUUUUCAAAAGUUAGUUAAAUUCUCCAUAUAUUUUAGUGUUGUUCUAUUGGCUAGAAAGACAAAACAAGGGGAAUCUGGCAAAUGU
rnacentral:lncRNA from 10 species